rnacentral:rRNA from 1 species
UAAAAACCCCGACUUCGGAAGGGGUGUAUUUAUUAGAUACAAAACCAAUGCCCUUCGGGGCUCUUUGGUGAUUCAUGAUAACUAUACGAAUCGCACGGCCUUGCGCCGGCGAUGGUUCAUUCAAAUUUCUUCCCUAUCAACUUUCGAUGUUUGGGUAUUGGCCAAACAUGGUCGCAACGGGUAACGGAGGGUUAGGGCUCGACCCCGGAGAAGGAGCCUGAGAAACGGCUACUACAUCCAAGGAAGGCAGCAGGCGCGCAAAUUACCCAAUCCCGACUCGGGGAGGUAGUGACAAUAAAUACUGAUACAGGGCCCUUUCGGGCCUUGUAAUUGGAAUGAGUACAAUUUAAAUCCCUUAACGAGGAACAAUUGGAGGGCAAGUCUGGUGCCAGCAGCCGCGGUAAUUCCAGCUCCAAUAGCGUAUAUUAAAGUUGUUGUGGUUAAAAAGCUCGUAGUUGAACCUUGGGCCUGGCUGGCCGGUCCGCCUCACCGCGUGCACUGGUCCGGCCGGGCCUUUCCCUCUGUGGAACCCCAUACCCUUCACUGGGCGUGGCGGGGAAACAGGACAUUUACUUU